UACAAAGGGCAGCAAACUCGCGAGGGUGAGCUAAUCUCCAAAAGCCCGUCUCAGUUCGGAUUGUUCUCUGCAACUCGAGAGCAUGAAGGCGGAAUCGCUAGUAAUCGCGGAUCAGCAUGCCGCGGUGAAUACGUUCCCAGGCCUUGUACACACCGCCCGUCACACCAUGGGAGUUGGUUUCACCCGAAGGCAGUGCGCUAACCGCAAGGAGGCAGCUGACCACGGUGGGAUNCAGCGACUGG
rnacentral:rRNA from 1 species